rnacentral:lncRNA from 1 species
GGGGGUCGAGGGUCAGUGUCGGGGUGCCGGGUUCCUUUUUCCUCUUCUUUCUUCUUCUCAUAUCUCCUCUUUUUCUUCGUAUUCCUCUUCUUCUUCUUCUUCUUCUUCUUCUUCUUCUUAUUAUUAUUAUUAUUAUUAUUAUUAUUCUUUCUCCUCCUGCUCCUCCUCCUCCUCUUCUUCUUCUUCUACUAUUACUUCUUCUUCUUCUUAUUCUUUUUUCUCCUCCUCCUCCUCCU